UACGAAGGGGGCUAGCGUUGCUCGGAAUCACUGGGCGUAAAGCGCACGUAGGCGGACUCGCAGGUCAAUUGUGAAAUACCCGGGCUCAACCUGGGAACUGCAGUUGAAACCGCUUGUCUUGAAUACCUGAGAGGGUGGGGGAAUACCUGGUGGAGAAGUGAAAUUCGUAGAGAUCAGGUGGAACACCGGAGGCGAAGGCGCCUGCCUGGCAGUGUAUUGACGCUGAGGUGCGAAAGUGCGGGGAGCAAACAGG
rnacentral:rRNA from 1 species